rnacentral:rRNA from 1 species
UACGUAGGGCGCAAGCGUUGUCCGGAAUUAUUGGGCGUAAAGAGCUCGUAGGCGGCUUGUCACGUCGGGUGUGAAAGCCCGGGGCUUAACCCCGGGUCUGCAUUCGAUACGGGCUGGCUAGAGUGUGGUAGGGGAGAUCGGAAUUCCUGGUGUAGCGGUGAAAUGCGCAGAUAUCAGGAGGAACACCGGUGGCGAAGGCGGAUCUCUGGGCCACUACUGACGCUGAGAAGCGAAAGCGUGGGGAGCGAACAGG